UACGAAGGGGGCUAGCGUUGCUCGGAAUGACUGGGCGUAAAGGGCGCGUAGGCGGCUCAUACAGUCAGAUGUGAAAUUCCUGGGCUUAACCUGGGGGGCUGCAUUUGAUACGUGUGGGCUUGAGUGGGGAAGAGGGUCGUGGAAUUCCCAGUGUAGAGGUGAAAUUCGUAGAUAUCGGGAGGAACACCGGUGGCGAAGGCGGCGAUCUGGGUAGAUACUGACGCUGAGGUGCGAAAGCGUGGGGAGCAAACAGG
rnacentral:rRNA from 1 species